GCUGCAUGGUGAUGCAGUUGGUAGUACUGUUGUCUUACAGCCAGAAGGUCCUGGGUUCAACUCCCGGCCGUGGCU